rnacentral:lncRNA from 1 species
ACACUGAAACGCACCCAAAAACACACCCCCCGGCGCAAAAACCACCCCUGGAACAACCCAGCUGCACGGAACGCCAUCGGAAAUACCCCAAAACGGCUUGAAACGCACCCAAAAUGCCCCAAAAUGGCCUGAAACGCAAUCAAAAAUACCAUAAAAUGGCAUGAAACGCACCCAAAAUACCCCAAAAUGGCAUAAAACGCACCCAAAAUACCAUAAAAUGGCCUGAAACACGAUCAAAAAUACCCCAAAAUGGCUUGAAACGCACCCAAAAAAUACCCUGAAACACCCACUGCUCCAAACCGGCCUGAAACGCACCCAAAAUACCCCAAAAUGGCUUGAAACGCACCCAAAAAUACCAUAAAAUGGCAUGAAGUGCCCCCCAAAACAGCCACCGCGCCCAAAACCGCCUGAAACGCACCCAAAAAUACCCCAGCUGCCUGGAACGCGAUCAAAAUACCCCAAAAUGGCUUAAAACGCACCCAAAACAUAUCCCAUCUGCCUGGAACGCAACCAAAAAUACCAUAAAAUGGCAUGAAAUGCACCCAGAAAACACUCACCGCCCCCAAAACCAACUGAAACACACCCAAAAAAUACCCCAGCUGCCUGAAACACGAUCAAAAAUACCCGAAAACAGCCUGAAACGCACCCAAAAAAUACCCUGAAACACCCACCACCCCCAAAACCGCCUGAAACGCACCCAAAAAUACCCCCAAAUCUCAAAACUGCCUGAAACGCACCCAAAAAAGCACCCCCAAACCCCAAAAUGCCCCCAAAACACCCCAACUGCCUGAAACGUGAUCAAAAAUACCCCAAAAUGGCUUGAAAUGCCCCAAAAAAACACUCACCGCCCCCAAAACCGCCUGAAACGCCCCCAAAAAACACCCCCGAAUUGCCUGGAACGGGACCAAAAAACCCCCCAAACCCCAAAACCACCUGAAACGCCCCCAAAAAUACCCCCCAAACCCAAAGCCCCCGGAGAUGCCACCACUACGGACCCCUCGGAAGCUCCUGGAGAUGCCACCACCACCAGGGCUCCAUCCCAAGCCCCUGGAGAUGCCACCACCACCACGAUGGACCCAUCCGAAGCACCUGGAGAUGCCACCACCACCAUGAUGGACCCAUCUGAAGCACCUGGAGAUGCCACCACCACGGUAGACGUGUCCAAACCAUCCCAAGGUGCCACCACCAGCACCAGGGCUCCAUCCGAAGCACCUGGAGAUGCCACCACCACCACCAUGGAUCCAUCUGAAGCACCUGGAGAUGCCACCACCUCCAGGGCUCCAUCCAAUGCCCCUGGAGAUGCCACCACCACCAGGAUGGACCCAUCUGAAGCCCCUGGAGAUGCCACCACCACCACCAGGGCUCCAUCCGAAGCCUCCGGAGAUGCCACCACCCCCCCAUCCCCUGCCAAAAGGUGGGCGGGGCUCCUCGAGGGGGCGGUUCCUCUCGUGGCCCCGCCCCUUUCCCCUCCCCCUCGUGCAUCAUUGGACAAUAAAAGGCUGAGUCUCCGCCUCCAUCUCUCUGGCCCCGCCCCCCUGAAGGGGACCCCAAAAACUCACCCAUUUCGGGGGUUCCACCGGCUUUUAUUUGUGCCCCGCCCCCUCCAGCUCCCAGCCAAUGGCAGCGCAGGGGCUGCUAUUUCCCCCCCCAACUAUUGACCAAUCCUGUGCCCUCCAGGGCUCCAUCCAAUGCCCCUGGAGAUGCCACCACCACCAGGAUGGACCCAUCUGAAGCCCCUGGAGAUGCCACCACCACCACCAGGGCUCCAUCCGAAGCCUCCGGAGAUGCCACCACCCCCCCAUCCCCUGCCAAAAGGUGGGCGGGGCUCCUCGAGGGGGCGGUUCCUCUCGUGGCCCCGCCCCUUUCCCCUCCCCCUCGUGCAUCAUUGGACAAUAAAAGGCUGAGUCUCCGCCUCCA